ACGAGUUUGAGAUCCUCUUGCAAACUUGGCGUCUGGAAACUGACGAGUUUUUGUUCUUCAUCCCCGCCGCGGAAGGCCACCGAAUCGCCCCCUCCCUCCCUCUAGAGGUCCAGCCCGCUGCUUGACGUCCAAAUCCCUAGUCCGGCUCGCCGCCUCUUUUUUACCCAACGCGGGAAGGCGAGGUGAGGCCGUGAGGGAUCCGCCGGCCAUCCGCCCGGCACAGGGGCAGUCUGUGCGUUGGUCAGGGGAGAUUCUCCGAUUCGCCGUCCCCAUCGAAUCGCCGCCGCGAGAUCUGGUAAGAAAUUGGCUUUCAUCAUGGAGCAGGACGCCCUGCUGGCUUCUUCCCAGCAAGUGAAGCUACCCUUGGCUCUGUUUACUUUUGAAAGCAACAAGAAGAAGCAGCUCCUGUUUGAUCCCUCCACCAAGAAGAUCUGUGGCAUAAUCAGCGCCGCGUUCGCAGAUGCCAUCUGCGUGUUCGAGAAUGGCGGGUGGCUGCUCAUGCUCCAGCACAAGCAACAUGGUUUCCAGGAGCAGCAAGAGCAGACCAUCUUCCUUGUGCAUGCCAGCACGGGCAGGCGGCUGGAGCUGCCGGCAUGCCCUUCUGUCAUUGACGGGCUCUUCGUUUUCUAUGUCGGCUCCAGUGAGGUGCCUCUGGUCCAUUGAGACUAUCUCCAAGGUUCCAACCGUCCAUGUUGCCUGCCCUGGAGAUAUUUACUGGAGCGUCUACAAGAACAUGGAAGAUAGCUCCCGUCUACCGCAGCAUCCAUACACACGAGUCAAGUGCACCCUUAUUAUCGAUGUCGUCUUGCUUGGGAAGCAGGCCGUCUGCGUCGACUACCAUGGGAAGAUCCUGAUCUUCGAUGUUACGGAGAUGAGCUGGAGGACCGCUCUUUCUAAGGGGUGGAACGAAAGGAAUGCUCACUUUCUUGUGGCAUCCAGUGGAAAAGUUGUGCUCAUCUCGUGUCGUCGCUUUUGUGGACGGUUCUGUGACUUCAAGUUCUUCAAGCUGAACGCUGAAGCACUAGAGUGGUCACCUCUAGAUGACACUGAGCUUGAUGGUUCCAGCUGGUUUCUUUACAGAGGUCGCUCCAUCCUUGCGAGGGAGGAAGGCAAGAGGAAAGUCUACACCUUCUAUCCAAACCAGUGGGGUGGCUCAACACCGAUCGACGCCGACAGCUCGAGGAAGAGGAAGGUAGCCCAUAUGAAGUCACUGUCUUCUAGAGAGAAAUCGAUUACGAAUAUAUUCAUGCAUGAUUUAGAAGAUGACGUUGUCACGAAGGUUCUCCCGGCUUCAAUUGUGACUGAGGAACGACAUUGGGUUCGGUCUAGUGUUUUUGGUGGACCAUUUCAGUAAUUGUAUAUGUAAUAAAAGAUGUUGUCUGAUGAUACAUUAUGAAACUUGAGUACCAACACAAACUCGCAAAUAGGAAGAGUUUUUUUGUUUGGAAAA